UACGUAGGGGGCAAGCGUUGUCCGGAAUCAUUGGGCGUAAAGCGCGUGUAGGCGGCCCGAUAAGUCCGCUGUGAAAGUCCAGGGCUCAACCCUGGGAUGCCGGUGGAUACUGUCGGGCUCGAGUCCGGAAGAGGCGAGUGGAAUUCCUGGUGUAGCGGUGAAAUGCGCAGAUAUCAGGAGGAACACCAAUGGCGAAGGCAGCUCGCUGGGACGUGACUGACGCUCAUGCACGAAAGCGUGGGGAGCGAACAGG
rnacentral:rRNA from 1 species